ensembl:rRNA 5S_rRNA 5S ribosomal RNA
GCCUACGGCCAUACCACCCUGAAAGCGCCCGAUCUCUUCUGAUCUCGGAAGCUAAGCAGGGACGGGCCUGGUUAGUACCUGGAUGGGAGACCGCCUGGGAAUACCAGGUGUUGUAGGCU